CGAGUGCACACUACAGGAGAAAGGUAGAGAAUUGGGACGCACUGCAUAUCCUUCCAAAAUGACAGAACCAACUGUAUCCCACUCAGUAAAUACUCAGGUCAUGCAAUCACAUGAAAACUCUGAUAGUGACACGAGCCAACAAACAGAGUACAGCCUGCUGCAAGUGAACGGGGCAUGGAACAGACAGACUGGCGGACAGACUCAGAAGGAGGGACGGUUAUCAGCUGCUAAAAUUUUCCAGAGCACCUCAGAACAUGGCCUCUCCUGGACAGUGGUCAGCCCUAUUGUGUUCACCUACAGAGUGAUCCAAUGCCACAACCUGCUGGAUGUUGGGAAUGACACACUGCUAUGUGGUCAUAUAGAGGACCAGGAUGAGCUCAAGGCCUUCAGAAGCAACACCAAGCCCAUCAAACGCUUCAUUAUCAUUGAUGAGACAGUCAAUCAGCUCUAUGGCUCCCAGGUCACCAGGUAUUUUGAGGCCAGAAAUGUUCUUUAUAGGAUCCUCCCACUGCCCACUACAGAGGAGAACAAGUCCAUGGAGCUUGUGACCAGGAUUCUGGAGGAGGUCCACAAGUUUGGCAUAGACAGGCGCUCUGAGCCCAUCAUUGCUAUUGGAGGCGGGGUGUGUCUGGAUGUGGUGGGCCUAGCUGCUUCUCUCUACCGGAGGCGAACCCCCUAUAUCCGUGUCCCGACCACCCUGCUUUCCUACAUUGAUGCCAGUGUGGGGGCCAAAACUGGAGUCAACUUUGCCAAUGGUAAGAACAAGCUGGGGAGUUACAUACCUCCGGUCGCAACAUUUUUAGACCGGACCUUCAUCCAAACUGUUCCUCGCAGGCAGGUUUCUAAUGGAAUGGCAGAAAUGUUAAAGAUGGCUCUGAUGAAACACAGGGGCCUGUUUGAGCUCCUGGAGACUAAAGGCAAGUACCUAUUGGACUCAAGUUUCCAAUCCCAUGACAAGAUCAGUGGCUGCUGUGACCUGGAAGAUGCUGCCUCUUCGUCCAUGCGGAUUGCCAUAGAAACCAUGCUAGAGGAGUUGGCUCCCAAUCUGUGGGAGGAUGACCUGGACAGACUGGUGGACUUUGGCCAUCUAGUCAGCCCUGAGCUAGAAAUGAAAGUGCUGCCUGCUCUGCUCCACGGGGAGGCGGUGAACAUUGACAUGUCCUUCAUGGUGUACGUGGCCCACCAGAAAGGGCUCCUGACAGGAGAGGAGAAGGCCCGGAUCAGCCACUGCAUGGUGGGUUUGGAGCUGCCUGUGUGGCACCAGGACUGCACUCUGGCCCUGGUGCAGAAGUCUCUGAGCGAACGACUGAAGCACUCUGCAGGGUCCCUGAGGAUGCCUCUUCCCACAGGACUGGGAUGUGCAGAAAUCUUCCAUGAAAUCAGUGAUGAAAUCCUGUGCCAGGCUUUCAAGAUCUGGUGUGAUGAACUUGGUUCUUCUUGA
ensembl:lncRNA